rnacentral:tRNA from 2 species
GCCCUCGUAGCUCAGGGGAUAGAGCAAAGGAUUUCUAAUCCUUUGGUCGUAGGUUCGAAUCCUACCGAGGGCG